AAACACUCAGCAAGGUUUUCCCUAUAAGGAAGAAAAAAACCCAUCAUCUACCUUUUGAGCUGAUGGCUCGUGGAACCCGAAUUACAGAUUUGACUCCUAUGUAGCAGAACUGUUUGUUUAAACAACUCCUUAUUCCGGGUAAUUUCCUUAGAGAGUUAAUGUCUUUUGAUUCUAAGAUGUCUCUGGAGUAAAAGGCCUGUACGGGAUUAGAGACCCUUUCAUUAACAGGUGUCUCUAGGGUGUUAGUUGAUCAAAUCAGCAUUGGGUGAAGGCCUUCCCUUAGUCCCCCAGCUUCUUCAACAAAACCAUGAU